UUACAUAUUUAAAUUUAAUUCCAAAACUUGAACAUAAUAUUUAACAUUAAGAAUCUUUAAAACUUUGUAAAAUUAUACACGGCCCCAUUUAAAGCAUAUACGGCUAACUCAAUUUGAUAAAAAUCAAAAUAGAUCACGCACGUCAUUGUUAUCCAAAUAACAAUAAGUUAAUCAGACAAUAAAUUUAUCAGACAUACACAGGCUGCUGGUUGAUAAGCGAUAGGCAAUUGUAUUAACCAUAAUGGCUAAUUAAACACGGCACGCUCGUGACACGUGUCACGCGCAAGUGACAGUUCGCGGCAAAUUAUCGUCUGCGUUCUCGCGGAAGCGACAGAUUCGUGAAGAAAAGCAGCGUCAGAUCGGGAAGACAGGAUGAAGAUGAAGAGUCGACGUGAAUGGAAUAUUUUGGGACACGACACGUAUAACAAGUAUUGUGACUGUUGAUCUGCGCUGAGGAUCCGUUGCAAAUUUGCGAUCGCUGCAUGUAGAUCUUCGAACAAAAAAAGCUUGUGCAAGGAUGACCCGGAAUUUAUUUAAAUAAUGAAAAAAGCAGGCAAUCGUAAUAUAAUCAAAAGGUUGAGAAACACUGAUGCAAAUGCUCAAUUUAUUAGUACACCAGACACCAGCGAUCUGUCACAGUGGUAAUAUUUCAUAAUGUGUCAGACAAUGCUCCAUUAUCUUACUACACGACGAGGUUUAGUUCUGUUAGAUAGAACAACUGAACGAUUUGUGAUAUUUUUGAUAGUAAUCAAAUUAUUAUCAAUAGUAGAAUAGUAUAUUAUGGAAGUUACAUAAUUAUAGGUACAUAUUGUAUAAAUAUCAGUUAAAUUAUCCUUUUUACAUUAUUCUUUUUC